AGCUGCUGGCAGUCGCAGAUACCAGGUGGCUGCAACUGUUUAUUAAAAACACAGCACUGUGCAAAAUCGAAAGAUGACGUAUACGGUGUGACGCCUGCCCGGUGCCGGAAGGUUAAUUGAUGGGGUUAGACUUCGGUCGAAGCUCUUGAUCGAAGCCCCGGUAAACGGCGGCCGUAACUAUAACGGUCCUAAGGUAGCGAAAUUCCUUGUCGGGUAAGUUCCGACCUGCACGAAUGGCGUAAUGAUGGCCACGCUGUCUCCACCCGAGACUCAGUGAAAUUGAAAUCGCAGUGAAGAUGCUGCGUACCCGCGGCUAGACGGAAAGACCCCGUGAACCUUUACUACAGCUUGGCACUGAACAUUGAACCUACAUGUGUAGGAUAGGUGGGAGGCUUUGAAACCAUGUCGCUAGAUAUGGUGGAGCCGUCCUUGAAAUACCACCCUUGUAGUUUUGAUGUUCUAACGUCGCCCCGUUAUCCGGGGUGCGGACAGUGCCUGGUGGGUAGUUUGACUGGGGCGGUCUCCUCCCAAAGCGUAACGGAGGAGCACGAAGGUGGGCUAAUCACGGUCGGACAUCGUGAGGUUAGUGCAAUGGCAUAAGCCCGCUUGACUGCGAGAAUGACAAUUCGAGCAGGUGCGAAAGCAGGUCAUAGUGAUCCGGUGGUUCUGUAUGGAAGGGCCAUCGCUCAACGGAUAAAAGGUACUCCGGGGAUAACAGGCUGAUACCGCCCAAGAGUUCAUAUCGACGGCGGUGUUUGGCACCUCGAUGUCGGCUCAUCACAUCCUGGGGCUGAAGUCGGUCCCAAGGGUAUGGCUGUUCGCCAUUUAAAGUGGUACGCGAGCUGGGUUUAGAACGUCGUGAGACAGUUCGGUCCCUAUCUGCCGUGGGCGUUGGAUGAUUGAGAGGGGCUGCUCCUAGUACGAGAGGACCGGAGUGGACGAACCUCUGGUGUUCGGGUUGUGUCGCCAGACGCAUUGCCCGGUAGCUAAGUUCGGAAUCGAUAACCGCUGAAAGCAUCUAAGCGGGAAGCGAGCCUCGAGAUGAGUCAUCCCUGAACCUAUAAGGUUCCUAAAGGGUUGUUGAAGACUACGACGUAGAUAGGCAGGGUGUGUAAGCGCUGUGAGGCGUUGAGCUAACCUGUACUAAUUGCCCGUGAGGCUUAACCAUACAACACCCAAGGGGUUU
rnacentral:rRNA from 1 species